rnacentral:rRNA from 1 species
UACGGAAGGCAGCAGGGGGAAUAUUGCACAAUGGGCGAAAGCCUGAUGCAGCUAUGCCGCGUGUAUGAAGAAGGCCUUAGGGUUGUAAAGUACUUUCAUCGGGGAGGAAAAAACAAAACUAAUAAUUUUAUUUCUUGACGUUACCCGAAAAAGAAGCACCGGCUAACUCCGUGCCAGCAGCCGCGGUAAUACGGAGGGUGCUAGCGUUAAUCAGAAUUACUGGGCGUAAAGAGCACGUAGGUGGUUUUUUAAAGUCAGAUGUGAAAUCCCUGGGCUUAACCUAGGAACUGCAUUUUGAAACUGAAAUACUAGAGUAUCGUAGAGGGAGGUAGAAUUCUAGGUGUAGCGGUGAAAUGCGUAGAUAUCUGGAGGAAUACCUGUGGCGAAAGCGGCCUCCUAAACGAAUACUGACACUGAGGGUGCGAAAAGCGUGGGGAGCAAAACAGGGAUUAAAUACC